GUGUAUGAAUUAAAACAUUAAUGCACGUCAUCCUUCUCGUCUCUCCACAGGUAAUGCCCCUAUUAUCUCCUCCCACACAAUACUUAUUUUUCUUUCAAGGAAAAUGAUCUCUUUGCUUGCUACGAGUUUGUACUGCGGGUGCAAGGUUAAAAACCGAGGAUCAUCUUUUCUCAUAAAUAAAUACCGUUUUUCUUGGAAAAGUCUUAACUAUAUCCUUUUAUGAGCCCUC
rnacentral:lncRNA from 1 species